UACGGGGGGGGCAAGCGUUGUUCGGAAUUACUGGGCGUAAAGGGCGCGUAGGCGGCCCUCUAAGUCGGACGUGAAAUCCCUCGGCUCAACCGGGGAACUGCGUCCGAUACUGGAGGGCUUGAAUCCGGGAGAGGGAUGUGGAAUUCCAGGUGUAGCGGUGAAAUGCGUAGAUAUCUGGAGGAACACCGGUGGCGAAGGCGGCAUCCUGGACCGGUAUUGACGCUGAGGCGCGAAAGCUAGGGUAGCAAACGGG
rnacentral:rRNA from 2 species